UGGGGAAUAUUGCACAAUGGGGGAAACCCUGAUGCAGCGACGCCGCGUGAGCGAUGAAGGCUUUCGAGUCGUAAAGCUCUGUCCUAUGGGAAGAUAAUGACGGUACCAUAGAAGAAAGCCCCGGCUAAUUACGUGCCAGCAGCCGCGGUAAUACGUAAGGGGCGAGCGUUGUCCGGAAUUAUUGGGCGUAAAGAGUGCGUAGGCGGCAAAUUAAGUCAGAUGUGAAAACUAAGGGCUCAACCCAUAGAUUGCAUCUGAAACUGAUAUGCUUGAGUCAAGGAGAGGAAAGUGGAAUUCCUAGUGUAGCGGUGGAAUGCGUAGAUAUUAGGAGGAAUACCGGUGGCGAAGGCGACUUUCUGGACUUGAACUGACGCUGAGGCACGAAAGCGUGGGGAGCAAACAGG
rnacentral:rRNA from 4 species